rnacentral:tRNA from 1 species
UGCUCUGUCGUCUAAUGGAUGAGGAUACAAGGCUACGGACCUUGGGGUGCGAGUUCGAAUCUUGCCAGGGCAA